UCUACUUCACAGAACGUUUACAAAUGCAAACAUGUGCAUUUUGAAAAAGUUCCAGAUGAUUAAAAAUGUUUUCUUUUGCAUAAUAGAUGGAACUUUUCAAAAUGCAAUAAAACAAUUGGUGACUUUUCAAGGGGCCGCGGUGAUCUCCUCUUUUUAUACUGAAUCAUUUCUUUCAUACGUUGACAGUUUACGUCACACAUGGAAAUGCUGGUUACUAAAUUCCAGUACUUCUGUUCACUUAAGUGUGCCAACACCAAGUACAAACAGUUCAAUUAUUUUAAUGUACAACAACAAAACUUCUUUACCACAGUAUUAAACAAAGUUGACCAAAGUUCAAAAAAUGUUUUAUUUACCGCCCUUGAAUUCUUUUUAUUAACAGGGGAACAUGAAACCGGUAAAAGUGAAGUGCUUCGCAGAAUAAUUGAAGUUUGUUCCACCAAGAAACAUCGUGCUCUUCUUGCCACGCCCAAAGGGAACAUGGAACCGGUAAUAGUGAAGUUUGUUCCACCAAGAAACAUCGUGCUCUUCUUGCCACGGCCACAGGUUUCCUCUGCAGCACGCGUACGAAGCCUUUCUCCCAGAUUCUGUCACCUGUGACACUGUUCAUUCGGCUUUUAAAAUAGGCAUACAUCGUGAACAAGAAAGCUUUACUAAUUGGAAUUUACGAAUGUUUGGCAUAAUACUUUUAGAUGAAAUCAGUAUGGUGGCAAAAAUCAUUCACACCACGUUAUUUCCAGUAUCCGAUCUAAGGCAAGACCACCAAUUACAGUUCUUUGCGGUGACCCAUUGCAAUUGCAACCCUUCGGACAAAAUCAACAAGACUGUAAAAACUUAUUUGACGACAAACUACUCAUGUCUCUUUGCCGUAAAUUCACCCUUUUCACUCAGUUUGAAUCAACAGAGCAUUGGUUACUGGAAACCAACUAAACAACAAUUGAACCCUUUUUUAUGCAGGUCUUUUACAGUCAGAUUCAAAUCAUCCAACAGAGGACGAUGUUGUAUCUGUGUACAUACGCAAUCCCAACACCAAAUUUUUAACAUUUACCAACAAGGAAAGUGCUUUCAUCAAUGACACCAUAUGUUGCCACCAUCUCUUUCGUACAACACCACCUUUAUGUGUUUUCUUAUUAUGGGAAACAACAAAUCAGGGCCAAGACCUAUUUAUGAAGGAAUGUUCAUGAGAAUAACAGAGAACAGGGAUAAAUCGCGACGAUACGUAAAUGGUCAAUGUGGCAUUGUUGGCAAAGUUUUCCAAAAAAAUGUCUACUUGGAGAUUGAAAACUCUUGCUUUAUCCGAAUCUAUCCCAUUUCCAAUGAAAAUGGCGGGCGAAAUGUACUACCCAUUUACACCAGCAUAUGCUUCCACCAUCCACAAGUCGCAAGGACAAACAGUACAAAAGGUCUGCAUCUGGUUUGAUACUCCAUCUCUGCCAGAAGGCUGUGCAUAUAUGUUGCAUUAUCUAGAGUUAAACAAAAAAUGAGUUUGACUUUCCUUGUGCCGCCAACUCCCUGCUCAAUGUUUUCCAUUAAAACGUCGCAUUUUAAUCUAACCAACCAAUUGGAUUUUUUCCCAAUCAAACACAAAUAUGAUAAUGUUUUUUCAGUUGUUCCACACCUCUCGAACAAGCAUAACAUAAAUCUGACAUUUCCAAAAUAAAGUUAUUUCAGCUUAUUUGCUCUACGCGAGGCUUCCGUCCUCACUGAGCUCUAGGACACCUGCGUUACUCUUUGACAGAUGUACCACCUCAGUCAAACUCCCGGCUUAACGGUCUUCAGAUCGA